CAGGGGUUAAGGGAACAGAAAACUGCAAACAGAGUAAUAAAAUGCAGAGGCAGCCUAAGAGUUACACUAACAGAACCCAAAUAAAGGGGAAAUUUGGGGUAUAGAAGGACUUUUUGGUUGAUGUACUAAGAAAACCUGCUACAUGCUAGCUAUGGACCUUAUGUUUUUGAGACACGGCCACACGGGUCUGAUUUUUCUGGUCUGAUCUAAUAAGCAAUAAGAAUAUGUGCUGAGGAAAAUUUGAGGCGUAGGAGUGAAACUUGAAGUAUUAGGUACGCAUUAGCCUUGUCAAAGUUUGAAGGUCCGACACUGGUACUUAAGAUGAUAAAAAGAGUCGAAGACAUCAUUUCUUGCUUGUCAGUGUAUUGAAUUUGAUUAUUUUUCCUUUGUUUUUGUUUUCUGAGGGGAAGGGAACUGAUGAACCUUUGAACUAUAACGAUUAACGAGCUAAUAAGAAAGAUCACAGUUAAGGACUGAAAGGUACAUUGACAGAUCGAGAGGAAAACUAUGGUAUAUACAAGCAACAAUUAAUCAAUAACCAUGAUUCAGACAACAAGAUAAAGAGAUUUUAAAGGACGGACCAGAUUGAAUGCUCUAGCGACCACUACCAGCAACCCCAGAGGAUGAUUGAGGCGAG